GACGAAGGGGGCUAGCGUUGUUCGGAAUUACUGGGCGUAAAGCGCGUGUAGGCGGUUGUCCAAGUCGGGUGUGAAAGCCUUGAGCUCAACUCAAGAAAUGCACUCGAUACUGGGUGACUUGAGGACCGGAGAGGAGAGCGGAAUUCCUGGUGUAGCGGUGAAAUGCGUAGAGAUCAGGAGGAACACCCAUGGCGAAGGCAGCUCUCUGGCUUCACCCUGACGCUGAGGCGCGAAAGCGUGGGGAGCGAACGGG
rnacentral:rRNA from 1 species